rnacentral:rRNA from 1 species
AGCGAACGCUGGCGGCAGGCCUAACACAUGCAAGUCGAACGAACUCUUCGGAGUUAGUGGCGGACGGGUGAGUAACACGUGGGAACGUGCCUUUAGGUUCGGAAUAACUCAGGGAAACUCGUGCUAAUGCCGAAUGUGCCCUUCGGGGGAAAGAUUUAUCGCCUUUAGAGCGGCCCGCGUCUGAUUAGCUAGUUGGUGAGGUAAAGGCUCACCAAGGCGACGAUCAGUAGCUGGUCUGAGAGGAUGACCAGCCACAUUGGGACUGAGACACGGCCCAAACUCCUACGGGAGGCAGCAGUGGGGAAUCUUGCGCAAUGGGCGAAAGCCUGACGCAGCCAUGCCGCGUGAAUGAUGAAGGUCUUAGGAUUGUAAAAUUCUUUCACCGGGGACGAUAAUGACGGUACCCGGAGAAGAAGCCCCGGCUAACUUCGUGCCAGCCGCCGCCGUAAGAC